GACCAGUUGGUGCUUCCAUAUUGG
rnacentral:siRNA from 1 species